UAUGAAGCAAUGAUAAAGAAGAGUACCUUGCAGAAAGUCCUCAGAGAACUUCGGACUUGGUGAGACCGGGGUGACGGACUGCAUGGGAAUGGACUUUUGAGCUGCAAUCCGAACCUCAGAAUCAAAUCUGUCAGUAGGCAUUGACGCAUCCAUGCGUUAUCAUGGUGAUGAUUCUCGUUUUGUAAGGAUCAGAUAAGCUGUUUCUGUUUUGCAGAAAAAUCAGGGUGGUACCGCGGUCUAUUCGUCCCUUGU
rnacentral:ncRNA from 1 species